rnacentral:rRNA from 1 species
UACGUAGGGUGCGAGCGUUGUCCGGAAUUAUUGGGCGUAAAGAGCUUGUAGGCGGUUUGUCGCGUCUGCCGCGAAAAUCCGGGGCUCAACCCCGGACUUGCGGUGGGUACGGGCAGACUAGAGUGUGGUAGGGGAGACUGGAAUUCCUGGUGUAGCGGUGAAAUGCGCAGAUAUCAGGAGGAACACCGAUGGCGAAGGCAGGUCUCUGGGCCACUACUGACGCUGAGAAGCGAAAGCGUGGGGAGCGAACAGG